AACGAACGCUGGCGGCAUGCCUAACACAUGCAAGUCGAACGAGACCUUCGGGUCUAGUGGCGCACGGGUGCGUAACGCGUGGGAACCUGCCCUUAGGUUCGGAAUAACUCCCCGAAAGGGGUGCUAAUACCGGAUAAUGUCUUCGGACCAAAGAUUUAUCGCCUUUGGAUGGGCCCGCGUUGGAUUAGCUAGUUGGUAGGGUAAAAGCCUACCAAGGCGACGAUCCAUAGCUGGUCUGAGAGGAUGAUCAGCCACACUGGGACUGAGACACGGCCCAGACUCCUACGGGAGGCAGCAGUGGGGAAUAUUGGACAAGGGGCGAAAGCCUGAUCCAGCAAUGCCGCGUAAGUGAUGAAGGCCUUAGGGUUGUAAAGCUCUUUUACCCGGGAUGAUAAUGACAGUACCGGGAGAAUAAGCUCCGGCUAACUCCGUG
rnacentral:rRNA from 1 species